rnacentral:lncRNA from 1 species
AGCAACUUAAGUAGGAAAAACUACAGAAGUGGGAGCUGUCUUCUAUAGCCAUGACCAUCAACAGACAGGUUACAUACAGGACUGUCUGCUGAGAAGUAGGUGAAGUGGACCAUCUGUAUAGGAAGAUGUUGUGAGAAGAGCUGGAACAAGAACCAUCGAUGCCAGGCCAUCUUUAUCAAGCCACCCAUGGGAAGAGCAUCAAGUGCCAUGAACCUCAGCACAGGCUACCCGUAAGAUCCAUCGAAACUAUCAGCACCAAGAUCAGUAGUGACAAUUGACAACUGUUUUAAGAACCCUUAGAAGGCAGAACCUUCCAUGAUGAACCCAUUAUAAACAAUGAGCACCAUGUACAACUGCCUUGUGCUCAGAAGAAACGUAUCACCUCUACUGGGAGUGGCCCAGGUCCAGAGGCAUCUGGAAUGAUAAGGACCCUGCAUGGGGAUCUAUAACCAUGGGGAACUCCAUCUCUACUGAGUACUAUAAUGUACAGGCACUGCCCAUGGAAGCUCUAACCGGGGGACACUGUAUACAAAGAACAUCCAUGACUCCCAACAGUAUAACCCAGCCCAUCUUGGGGAUCAUCAAACGCAGUUGGUAGUACCACUAGCCCCAGGGUAAAGUGUCUAGAAAGAACUUCUGAGGGGAUAUGUCAAAGGACCCAGGUGGCCAAAGAACAUCACCCAUGGGAGAGCUGUGCUUCCCAUCUGAUUCUUUCUGGGCAUCUAUACCCCACAUUCCAUCCAGGAGCAAAGGCUGAAUACACUGUUUCUGUCUCUAUGUUGGCCUCAGAAAAGCAGAAAUCAGAAGCCAGGGACAGCCCUUUUGCUCAGAUGGUCAGAACCAGACUCCCUGUGGCAGUACAUCAUGGUAACUGCCACCAUAGACUCAGAGACCAUCCUGCAGGAACUGGUAGGGCAGGAACUCUACACCAUGGACAAAUGCUGCAUAAGUGGAUAAGAGGCCUAAGGCCCUGCCCCCAUCCCUUCUCAGAACAGUGGAACCAUUCCCCAGGCUAAACACAUAGAUCCAGGAAACAAGAGGGUGCAUGAAGAGGAGAGGCCAGCGGCAGACAAUGAAAACAUCCACUGGGCACCAGAAGGAAAGUGGAGGGGGCACCAAGCACAAUAAAUGGUAUCUGGAGAGGU